GCGGCUCUGCCCGACCCUGACACCCAGCCUGCCAGCCAUCGCGGCGUCGCCGGUCGCCGGCAGGAGCCCGGAGUUCAGCCAUCCAGGAGGCUCUCGCCUCCCCUUCCCGGCUUCCCGCCCGGGCGCCCUCCCGGUCCAGCCGCGCCCCUACCCUGCGUGCGGCUGCACUCCGGCGAACUGCGGUCCCGGCAUCCCGCCUCCCCUUUCUGGCACCCCGCCGGCCCGGCCGCCCCCCUUCAAAGCCCCACCACGGCGACAAACCCCUGAGCGAUUUAAGAAUUAUUGAAGAAUGAAGAGGGCCGGAGACAUUGUUUUUCUUUUCCAGAGAUAAGCUAUUAAGAUAGGGAAGAAGGAAGCAGGGAAUAUGUCGAAUGUGGCUGAAGAGCAAACCGGAGAACUUUUGUAUAUGCUUGUUGUGAGUGAAGAGCAAACUCAUGAACCAACAGUGUCUAUGCCGAAUGUGACCAUAGAGCAACCGAAGAACAUUUUCUACCAUGAUUUAGUCAAGAUCAAGUUGAGAAAAUAAGAUGGGUGAUAGUCUUUUGGGUGAUUCCUAAUCACAUGCAUUGAGAGGCAUUAUUUCUCCGAGGUGAAUGAAGAUGAUAUAAUUGAUACCUUCAUGGCAAUGCAAAAGCGCAGGCAAACAUAGUCUUUUUGAACUUCUGAAGAUUGCGACGAGUGCGAAGGUGAAUUCUAUGAGGAGGUAGAACCUUGUGACUACGAAAUCGAAGGCAAGUUGCAAAUUGAUCAUGCUUCGACCUAUAUUUUCAUACUAUGCAUAACUCUUUAAAAUUUAAUACUAUGCAUGUUUUAUAAAAGUUUUGCAAAGUAUUAUAUUUGGCUAGAGCCAUAGGUUCAAGACUCACCAUUGGCCACGCUUGUACAAAAUGGGUGGGAUGAAAACCAAACUUGUUUUAAACUUUAAACUUGCUCUGUUUGGAGCAAAGUUUGAAAAAAUAUUUUUAAAACAAAAUUAUAUACUAUUUUACUUCUACUCCUUGGGGGGAAUGGUAUUGACGGGAGCGUUUACAAGUGAUUGCGCCCAUCGGGGUCUUGCAGUGAAUGUGCCCGACUGGGGUCUUGCAGACAGGUUUUUUGGUGGGGAUUGCCGUCUAGGGGAAUGAGAUCUUCCAAGUAUAGUUUGAUGUAGCUUCCAGUAAAGCCCCAUGCCACUAUGGGCUCUGGCUUAGCUUAGUACUAACGGGAAACCCUUACAUUAGGACCGCCAUCGGAGAGGGGCUUUCAUUGCCUAAGUUGCGGGCGGCUUGGUCAGGUAUAGGGGGCUGUUACGGAAAGGCUUCAUCGCAAUCUCCUCCUAGUCGUACACCCAAGUGUGUAACUAUAAACGGGGUUGGUUGUGUCAUGUGGGGAACGUGUACGACUUCUCUGCAGAGGGUUUAACCUAAUCGAUUAGCCGUGCCCCCGGUUAUGGGCAAAUUGAGCAACUGAAGACUUGGACUGAAGAAGUGUCCAUACGACAAGCCUAAAACCAUAGAAUGGUAAGACAUAUUACCCUUAUAGAUAGGCAACCGUGCCUAACGUAGACGAGUGGUGAGGAAAAAAAUUGUGAAGAUCUUCAAGGAGUUCCAUAGGAAUCUAUUGACCACCAUGAGAGUCUCGAUAGGUAGUUCUGGAACUUGUGGAUUUUGAGCAAGGCUUGAUCUUUUGAAAAUUAGCUUAGUCUUCCCUGUAAGAGGUCAAUGAAGAACUAUCAGGGAAUGAAGAAGUUGUGGGAAUCCCCAUAAGUUUAUUUAUAAGGGUGGUAGCGCCUAACAUCCUGGAAGGAUAUUGGAUGCAAGCAACAAACCGGCUAAGGCUUGGUAUGGGUGCCUACAACCUCAAACCUAGUAUAUGCUAGAGAAACAUAAGCAUAAGGAAUUGUACCAGUGUAAGACAUCCCUCAGACGAGAUGUGAAGGAUAAACCACAAACCUAUAGAUGAUAUGAUCAAACCUGGGAAAGUAACCCAAGGAACCCUAACACAACCUAUUUCUUGCUAGAAUAUGCAAAUCUCGAGAAUGAGAUUUCUUUUAAGGGUGGUAGUUUGUAACAUCCCAUUUUUUUUUCAAAUUUUGGAAUGUUAAUAAUAAGAUAUUAUUGAGUGAACUGCUAUGAUUUUCAUGGGAAAAUAAAACCUUUUGAUUCUUGUUUCAAAUAUUUCAAUCCAAUUGCUUUUCUUUUGGACACCUAUGUACCACAAAUAAAAAUGGAGUGAGAAUAAAAUGACUUUCUCAAAAUGAGGUGGAAGAAUAUUUUGUGCGAAGUUCUUUGAAUAUUUGGAGUUCCAUUUGAAUUGGAUCAUAUUUGGAGUUUCAAUGUCAUUUAAAUAUUUCCAAAUUAUUAAAUAAAAUAUGAGAGGAGAUAAUAUGACUUCUCCAAAAGUACUAUUGGAAAUAUUUAAUAUUUCUUGGUCAUUUUGGGUAUUCAUAAAACCCCAAGUUUGUGCUCAGAAAUAAUUUUAUCACGUUCUGAAAGUAUUGUUCCUAGACUCUAAGUAGUAACUUCGUAAAUGUGAACAUGUUAAUUCCUGUUGUAAAUAAACUUUUUUUAAACAGCAAAAAAGGGGUUGAUUACCAAAUUGGGCCAGGCCCAUGUAACUCCAACAGGCCAACAUCUUCUUCCUCCUGGCAUUCACCCCAGGAGGCCGCCAUGGCGUACAGUGGCUGCACCGAACGCUUCCCUUCCCUUCGCCGCACCCACUAACCUCCAGAACCGGUCCCCCUCGCCUCCCACGACCCCUCCCCUCAGUAGUGCGCCUUAAGGCACCCCCUAAUGGCCAUUAGAGCUCGAGGAAACUGCUGCUUUUACUGCAGCCAUUAACACCACGAUGCAGCUCGGUCUGACCCUCCCCUGACCCUUUAUAAAAGCCUAGGAUGCCGUCCAUAAUCUCCUCGCUCGAAGCCCUCUCCUUCGGGAGCAUAUCCCCCUCCCCAUCUCUGUAAAUUCCUCGCCGAAGUUCCAAACCGUAGCCCCUGUCCGCACUCGACUUCGUCGCCGUCGUUGAGUCCCAGGACCCCCGCUUAUUCCUUUCUCUUUGUCUAUCUUUCACGCACCUCGCUGACCACCUUCUCCCGUCGAUCCUCCGGCCGUAGCGCACCCGAAAUCUGCCGGCGUUAUGUUUCACUCCGGCCAACAUACAUGUGUGCCAGAGGACGGGCACAAGCUUUCCACAGCCAUCAACGUCUCUACCUCACCGUCCUGCACAUCUUCUGCUAUUGGAUAUUCGCCGGAGAUCACCAGAACGACGACGCCGAUGACACCUGACCUGCGGCCGUCUUCUUCUACCUCACCGGCAGUCUCACGCCGAUAUAUCGUAAAGUAAAGGGGUGGCGAUAACAAGUGGGGAAUCAACUUCAAGACUCAGG